rnacentral:rRNA from 1 species
CGGCUUCGACGCACACUCACNGACGGACAAACACACCCUGCCCCCGCCCACCCCGAAAAGAGAGCGAGAGAGAGCGGCCGUUACUACGUCUGUNNGAGAGCUGCGGCNUGAUACCUUGCGUGUAUCGCUGGGCAGCCGGCCGAGCGACCGGGGGUUUGACGCGUUCCGUUUUACCGGCAACGCGUCAGUCACCGCAGCAGAGCCGAAGACCGACAUCUAGCGGGUCGCGACAUUCUACUAGGGAAGAAGUGCACGACGACAAACGCCGGAAGCCGGCGUCGCUGACGAUGAAUCUCUCCGUUCGAUCUUUUGGGUUUCCUAGGUUUUGAAACGGUUGAACGGUUUCACGUACUCUUGAACUCUCUCUUCAAAGUUCUUUUCAACUUUU